rnacentral:rRNA from 1 species
UACGGAAGGGGCUAGCGUUGUUCGGAAUUACUGGGCGUAAAGGGCGCGUAGGCGGCUUACCAAGUUGGGGGUGAAAUCCCAGGGCUCAACUCCGGAACUGCCUUCGAAACUGGUAGGCUUGAGUCCGGAAGAGGGGCGCGGAAUUCCCAGUGUAGAGGUGAAAUUCGUAGAUAUUGGGAAGAGCACCGGUGGCGAAGGCGGCUUGCUGGUCCGGUACUGACGCUGAGGCGCGAAAGCGUGGGGAGCAAACAGG